rnacentral:rRNA from 1 species
GAUGAACGCUGGCGGCGUGCCUAAUACAUGCAAGUCGAGCGAACGGACGAGAAGCUUGCUCCUCUGAUGUUAGCGGCGGACGGGUGAGUAACACGUGGAUAACCUACCUAUAAGACUGGGAUAACUUCGGGAAACCGGAGCUAAUACCGGAUAAUAUUUUGAACCGCAUGGUUCAAAAGUGAAAGACGGUCUUGCUGUCACUUAUAGAUGGAUCCGCGCUGCAUUAGCUAGUUGGUAAGGUAACGGCUUACCAAGGCAACGAUGCAUAGCCGACCUGAGAGGGUGAUCGGCCACACUGGAACUGAGACACGGUCCAGACUCCUACGGGAGGCAGCAGUAGGGAAUCUUCCGCAACGGGCGAAAGCCUGACGGAGCAACGCCGCGUGAGUGAUGAAGGUCUUCGGAUCGUAAAACUCUGUUAUUAGGGAAGAACAUAUGUGUAAGUAACUGUGCACAUCUUGACGGUACCUAAUCAGAAAGCCACGGCUAACUACGUG